ensembl:lncRNA
AUCUCUGGCUUCCUAGGACGCCAAUAAAAACUCUCGACACCUAAGCAAUAAUUCCCAACAGUCUUUUCUUUUUGGCCGAAGAGCGCGGGGAAUAAGACCAGAUGCAAAGGUGCCAAGAUUGGAGUCGGGGAGACGCCCAAGACACAUCGACACGUUAGGGCAGGUGCAGGUGUCUGCUGUGAAGGAGGCGGCAGAGACAAGGACCCAGAGGGAUGGAAGAAGGCGUUUCUGCUCAGGUGAGACGAGGGCAUCAGGGUCCAGACCUGCCAGGAACGUG